GGACAGAUACUGACACUCAGAUGCGAAAGCGUGGGGAGCAAAACAGGAUUAGAUACCCUGGUAGUCCACGCCGUAAAACGAUGUCUACUUUGGAGGUUGUGGCCUUGAGCCGUGGCUUUUCGGAGCUAACGCGUUAAGUAGACCGCCUGGGGAGUACGGUCGCAAGAUUAAAAACUCAAAUGAAUUGACGGGGGCCCGCACAAGCGGUGGAGCAUGUGGUUUAAUUCGAUGCAACGCGAAGAACCUUACCUACUCUUGACAUCCAUAGAACUUUCCAGAGAUGGAUUGGUGCCUUCGGGAACUAUGAGACAGGUGCUGCAUGGCUGUCGUCAGCUCGUGUUGUGAAAUGUUGGGUUAAGUCCCGCAACGAGCGCAACCCUUAUCCUUGUUUGCCAGCACUUCGGGUGGGAACUCCAGGGAGACUGCCGGUGAUAAACCGGAGGAAGGUGGGGACGACGUCAAGUCAUCAUGGCCCUUACGAGUAGGGCUACACACGUGCUACAAUGGCGCAUACAGAGGGCGGCCAACUUGCAAAAGUGAGCGAAUCCCAAAAAGUGCGUCGUAGUCCGGAUUGGAGUCUGCAACUCGACUCCAUGAAGUCGGAAUCGCUAGUAAUCGUGGAUCAGAAUGCCACGGUGAAUACGUUCCCGGGCCUUGUACACACCGC
rnacentral:rRNA from 1 species